AACCCUACGUUUAGUUGCUAACAGGUGAAGCUGAGCACUCUAGACGAACUGCCGUUGACAAAACGGAGGAAGGUGGGGAUGACGUCAAAUCAUCAUGCCCCUUAUGUUCUGGGCUACACACGUGCUACAAUGGCCGGUACAGACGGAGGCGAAGCCGCGAGGCGGAGCAAAUCCGAAAAAGCCGGUCUCAGUUCGGAUUGCAGGCUGCAAUUCGCCUGCAUGAAGUCGGAAUCGCUAGUAAUCGCAGGUCAGCAUACUGCGGUGAAUACGUUCCCGGGCCUU
rnacentral:rRNA from 1 species